rnacentral:rRNA from 1 species
AAGACGCACGCAGGCGGUCUGUUAAGCUAGAUGUGAAAGCCCCGCGCUCAACGUGGGAGGGUCAUUUAGAACUGGCAGACUAGAGUCUUGGAGAGGGGAGUGGAAUUCCAGGUGUAGCGGUGAAAUGCGUAGAGAUCUGGAGGAACAUCAAUGGCGAAGGCAACUCCCUGGCCAAAGACUGACGCUCAUGUGCGAAAGUGUGGGUAGCGAACAGGAUUAGAUACCCUGGUAGUCCACACCGUAAACGCUGUCUACUAGCUGUUUGUGGAUUUAAUCCGUGAGUAGCGAAGCUAACGCGAUAAGUAGACCGCCUGGGGAGUACGGCCGCAAGGUUAAAACUCAAAUGAAUUGACGGGGGCCCGCACAAGCGGUGGAGCAUGUGGUUUAAUUCGAUGCAACGCGAAAAACCUUACCUACUCUUGACAUACUUGGAAACUCUUGUAAUGAGAGUGUGCCUUUUGGAACCAAGAUACAGGUGCUGCAUGGCU